rnacentral:rRNA from 1 species
GAGUUUGAUCUUGGCUCAGAGCGAACGCUGGCGGCAGGCCUAACACAUGCAAGUCGAACGAACUCUUCGGAGUUAGUGGCGGACGGGUGAGUAACACGUGGGAACGUGCCUUUUGGUUCGGAAUAACUCAGGGAAACUUGUGCUAAUACCGAAUGUGCCCUUCGGGGAAGGAUUAUCGCCAUUAGAGCGGCCCGCCGUCUGAUUAGCUAGUUGGUGAGGUAAAGGCUCACCAAGGCGACGAUCAGUAGCUGGUCUGAGAGGAUGAUCAGCCACAUUGGGACUGAGACACGGCCCAAACUCCUACGGGAGGCAGCAGUGGGGAAGUCUUGCGCAAUGGGCGAAAGCCUGACGCAGCCAUGCCGCGUGAAUGAUGAAGGUCUUAGGAUUGUAAAAUUCUUUCACCGGGGACGAUAAUGACGGUACCCGGAGAAGAAGCCCCGGCUAACUUCGUGCCAGCAGCCGCGGUAAC